GGUUAAGUGAAUAAGGGCGCACGGUGGAUGCCUUGGCACUAGGAGCCGAUGAAGGACGGGACUAACACCGAUAUGCUUCGGGGAGCUGUAAGUAAGCUUUGAUCCGGAGAUUUCCGAAUGGGGAAACCCAACAUCUUUUAUAGGAUGUUACUUUUCAGUGAAUACAUAGCUGAUUAGAGGUAGACGCAGAGAACUGAAACAUCUAAGUACCUGCAGGAAGAGAAAGAAAAAUCGAUUCCCUGAGUAGCGGCGAGCGAAACGGGAAAAGCCCAAACCAAGAGGCUUGCCUCUUGGGGUUGUAGGACUCCGAUAUGGUAGUCCAGUGAGAUAGUCGAAGGACCUGGAAAGGUCUGCUAGAAAGGGUAAAAGCCCCGUAGACAAAAUUUGACUGGCACCUAGGAGGAUCCUGAGUACGGCGGAACACGAGGAAUUCCGUCGGAAUCCGGGAGGACCAUCUCCCAAGGCUAAAUACUCCCUAGUGACCGAUAGUGAACCAGUACCGUGAGGGAAAGGUGAAAAGCACCCCGGAAGGGGAGUGAAAUAGAUCCUGAAACCGUGUGCCUACAACAAGUUAGAGCCCGUUAAUGGGUGAUAGCGUGCCUUUUGUAGAAUGAACCGGCGAGUUACGAUUACUUGCGAGGUUAAGUUGAAAAGACGGAGCCGCAGCGAAAGCGAGUCUGAAUAGGGCGAAUGAGUAAGUGGUCGUAGACCCGAAACCAUGUGAUCUACCCAUGUCCAGGUUGAAGGUGCGGUAAAACGCACUGGAGGACCGAACCCACGUACGUUGAAAAGUGCGGGGAUGAGGUGUGGGUAGCGGAGAAAUUCCAAACGAACUUGGAGAUAGCUGGUUCUCUCCGAAAUAGCUUUAGGGCUAGCCUCAGAGUAAGAAUGAUGGAGGUAGAGCACUGUUUGGACUAGGGGCCCAUCUCGGGUUACCGAAUUCAGAUAAACUCCGAAUGCCAUCCAUUCAUCUCUGGGAGUCAGACUGUGAGUGAUAAGAUCCAUAGUCGAAAGGGAAACAGCCCAGACCACCAGCUAAGGUCCCCAAAUAACUAUUAAGUGGAAAAGGAUGUGGGGUUGCACAGACAACUAGGAUGUUGGCUUAGAAGCAGCCACCAUUUAAAGAGUGCGUAAUAGCUCACUAGUCGAGUGACCCUGCGCCGAAAAUGUACCGGGGCUAAAUAGUUUACCGAAGCUGUGGAACACACCAAUGGUGUGUUGGUAGGAGAGCGUUCUAAGGGCGUUGAAGGUAGAUCGUGAGGACUGCUGGAGCGCUUAGAAGUGAGAAUGCCGGUAUGAGUAGCGAAAGACAGGUGAGAAUCCUGUCCACCGAAUGACUAAGGUUUCCUGGGGAAGGCUCGUCCGCCCAGGGUUAGUCGGGACCUAAGCCGAGGCCGAAAGGCGUAGGCGAUGGAUAACAGGUUGAUAUUCCUGUACCCGUUGUUUUUGUUUGAGCAAUGGAGGGACGCAGGAGGCUAAGGAAUCAGACGAUUGGAAAUGUCUGUCCAAGCAAUGAGUCUUGAUGUGAGUCAAAUGCUUACAUCUCUAAGGACAAGUUGUGAUGGGGAGGGAAAUAACAGUACCGAAGUUCCUGAUGUCACACUGCCGAGAAAAGCUUCUAGUGAGAAAACAAUGGCCCGUACCGCAAACCGACACAGGUAGUCGAGGAGAGAAUCCUAAGGUGAGCGAGAGAACUCUCGUUAAGGAACUCGGCAAAAUGACCCCGUAACUUCGGGAGAAGGGGUGCUGAUCUAACGAUCAGCCGCAGUGAAUAGGCCCAAGCGACUGUUUAUCAAAAACACAGGUCUCUGCAAAAUCGAAAGAUGACGUAUAGGGGCUGACGCCUGCCCGGUGCUGGAAGGUUAAGAGGAGUGCUUAGCGUAAGCGAAGGUACGAAUUGAAGCCCCAGUAAACGGCGGCCGUAACUAUAACGGUCCUAAGGUAGCGAAAUUCCUUGUCGGGUAAGUUCCGAC
rnacentral:rRNA from 1 species